rnacentral:lncRNA from 1 species
AUGUCAUUUCUGAUGAAAAGUUUUCUGUUACUCUGGCUGUCAUUGAAUUGUGAGUACGUUUCUUUUGUAUUAGAGUUUUUUCCUUUUACCUUUUUGAUUCUGCAGUUUCACUGGGGUAAAUUUAGAUGUGUCUUUAUUUUGUUAAUUAGAGGGCAUGUUUUUAAUCUGAACUGUCCUCUUUUACUUUCUGAGCAAUUUUCAGCCAUUAUUUUUUCACAUCUUUAUUCUCCUACAUUCUCCCUACUUUCUGUUUCUGGGAAUUUAUUUAGACAUAUGCUCAAGUCUCAAUCUAUUAACAUUCUCCCAUUUUUAUACUUUUAUGUUUUUGUUUCUUGUGUGUGUGUUCUUAUAUAAGCAAUGAUACCAGUGGUAAAAAUUAUGCACUUGUGAUUCUUAUGUUCCCAGUAAAAAAAGUGUAAAUAUCAUAUUUCAGCUGUUUGUAGAGAAUAUAUUGCAAAAAUAUAUCCAUAAAAAUUCAAAGUAGUUUAGACAAAAAGUCAUUUUCAUGCACACUAGGAAAAUUGGAAUGAAUAAUGCGUGAAUAAGUCUCAUAUUUUGAUACGUAAUCACUUUAUUAGGUAGAUUCAUGGAAAAGGUAUUCAGUAAAAAUUUUAAUCCAGGCUGGGCAUGUUGACUCAUGUCUAUAAUCCCAGCCUUUCGGGAGGUCAAAGCAGGAGGAUUGCCUGAGGCCAGGAGUUCGAGAUCAGCCUGAGCAACAGAUUGAGACCGCAUCUCUACAAUUUUUUUUUUGAAUCCUAGCUACUCGAGAGGCUGAGAUGGAAGGAUCACUUGAGCCAAGCAGUUUGAGGUUUCAGUGAACUAUGGUCAUGUGACUGCACUUCAGCCUGGGCAAUGGAGCAUGACACUCUCAAAAGAAAAAAAUCUAACUUUUAUUUUAUACAUCCUUGUUUUAUAAUAGCAGAGAUAUGUGUCAUAUAUAUAUAUAAACACACAAAGAAACUUUGAGGGUAAUGGAAGAGUAUAUGUAUUUAUUGACAUUGUCAAAAUGAGAAGGAAGAAGUAUGAUAAGUAAUCUGAAAUAGACUAGAUAGUCUUUAUUACUCAGAUAAGUCUCUGAGGUUAUUAUUGUUCUACUUAGUGUCUAAAUACAACUACCUUGAAAAACAAAUUUCUAAAAAUCAAAUGCCAACAAGAUACACUUAAAUGAUCUCGGAGCUAGUACCAUUCCUUCUGAAAUGAUUCCAAGCAAUACAAAAAGAGGGAAUUCCCCCUAACUCAUUUUAUGAAACUAACAUCAUCCUUAUGCUAAAAGCUGGCAGAGACACAAAUAAAAAGACAAUUUCAGGCCAAUAUCCAUGAUGAACAUCUAUGCAAAACCCUUCAAUAAAAUACUGGCAAACCAACUGCAACAGCACACCAAAAGUUUAUUUAUCAUGAUCAAGUAGGCGUCAUCCCACAAGGCUGAUUCAACAUAGGCAAAUCUAUAAACGUAAUCCAUCACAUAAACAGAACCAAAGAUAAAAACCACAUGGUUAUUCAAUAAAUGCAGACAAUAAUGACUUUGACAAAACUCAACAGCCCUUUAUGCUACAACUCUCAAUAAACUAGGUAUUGAUGGAACAUAUCUCAAAAUAAUAAAAGCCAUUUAUGAAAAACACACAGCCAAAAUCAUACUGAAUGGGCAAAAACUUGAAGCACUCCCUUUGAAAUCUGGCACUAGAAAAGGAUGCCCUCUCUCACCACUCUUAUUCAAUAUAGUAUUAGAAGUUCUGGCCAGAGGAAUCAGGCAAGAAAAAGAGAUAAAGGAUAUUCACUUAGGAAAGGAGGAAGUCAAAUUGUCUCUAUUUGCAGAUGACAUGAUUGUAUAUUAGGAAGACCACAUCAUCUCACCCAAAAUCUCCUUAAACUGAUAAGCAACUUUGGCAAAGUCUCAAAAUACAAGAUCAAUGUGCAGAAAUCACAAGCAUUCCAAUACAUCAUAACAGACAAACAGAGAACUAUAUUAUGAGUGAACUCCCACUCACAACUGCUACAAAGAGAAUAAAAUACCUAGGAAUACAACUAACAAAGGAUGUGAAGGACCUCUUCAAGGAGAACUACAAACCACUGCUAAAGGAAAUAAAAGAGGACAAAAACAGAUGGAAAAGCAUUCCAUGCUCAUGGUUAGGAGGAAUCAGUAUCAUGAAAAUGGCCAUACUGCCCAAAACUUUAUAGAUUCAAUGCUAUUCCCCAUCAAGCUACGAUUGACCUUCUUCAAAGAACUGAAAAAAACCACCUUAAACUUCAUAUGGAACCAAAAGAGAGCCCACAUAGCCAAGACAAUCCUAAGCAAAAAGAACAAAGCUGGAGGCAUCACACUUCCUGACUUCAAACUACACUACAAAGCUACAGUAAUCAAAACAGCAAAGUACUGGUACCAAAACAGAAAUAUAGACCAAUGAAACAGAACAGAGGCCCCGGAAGGAACGCCACACAUCCACAUUCAUCUGAUCUUUGACAGACCUGACAAAAAAGCAUUGGGAAAAGGAUUCUCUGUUUAAUAAAUGGUGUUGGGAAAACUUGCUAGCCAUGUGCAGAAAGCAGAAACUGGACCCCUUCCUGACACCUUAUACAAAAAUUAACUCCAGAUGAAUUAAAGAUUUAAACAUAAGAUCCAAUACCAUAAAAACCCUAGAAGGCAACAUAGGUAAUACCAUUCAGGACAUAGGCAUAGGCAAGGACUUGAUCAUGAAAACACCAAAAGCAAUGGCAACAAAAGCCAAAAUAAACAAACAGGAUCUAAUUAAACUUAACAGUUUCUGCACAGCAAAAGAAACAAUCAUUAGAGUGAGCUGGCAACCAACAGAAUGGGAAAAAAAUUUUUCAAUAUACCCAACUGACAAAGGGCUAGUAUCCAGAAUCUACAAAGAACUAAAAGAGAUUUAUAAGGAAAAAACAAGCCCAUUCAAAAGUGGGCAAAGGAUAUGAACAGACACUUUUCAAAUGAAGACAUAUGUAGCCAACAAACAUAUGAAAAAAGGCUCAUCAUCAUUGGUCAUUAGAGAAAUGUAAAUCAAAAUCACAUUGAGAUACCAUCUCACACUAGUUAAAAUGGUGAUCAUUUAAAUAUCUGGAGACAGCAGAUACUGGAGAGGAUGUGGAGAAACAGGAAUGCUUUUACACUGUUCAUGGGACUGUAAAUUAGUUCAGUCAUUGUGGAAGACAGUGUGGUGUUUACUCAAGGAUCUAGAACUAGAAAUACCAUUUGACCCAGCAAUCCCAUUACUGAGUAUAUACUCAAAGGUUUAUAAAUCAUUCUGUUAUAAAGACACAUGCACACGUGUGUUCAUUGUGGUACUGUUUAUAAUAGCAAAGACUUGGAACCAACACAAAUGCCCAUCAAUUAUAGACUAGAGAAAGAAAAUGUGGCACAUAUACCCCAUGGAAUACUAUGUAGCCAUACAAAAGGAUGAGUUCAUUUCCUUUACAGGGACAUGGUGAAGCUGGAAACCAUCAUUCUCAGCAAACUGACACAGGCACAGAAAACCAAGCAGUGCAUGUUCCAACUCUCAUAGGUGGGUGUUGAACAAUGAGAAGACAUGGAUACAGGAGUGGAGCAUCAUACACUGGGGUCUCUU